UUACGGCCACAUCAUGCUGACACACCGAUUCCUGUACGAUCACCGAAGUUAAGCAACGCUAUGCAUGAUCAUUACAUGGAUGUGAGACCGCCUGAGAUAUACCAGGUGCUGUAAG